AGCGAACGCUGGCGGCAGGCCUAACACAUGCAAGUCGAACGAAGUCUUCGGACUUAGUGGCGGACGGGUGAGUAACACGUGGGAACGUGCCUUUAGGUUCGGAAUAACUCAGGGAAACUUGUGCUAAUACCGAAUGUGCCCUUCGGGGGAAAGAUUUAUCGCCUUUAGAGCGGCCCGCGUCUGAUUAGCUAGUUGGUGAGGUAAAGGCGCACCAAGGCGACGAUCAGUAGCUGGUCUGAGAGGAUGAUCAGCCACAUUGGGACUGAGACACGGCCCAAACUCCUACGGGAGGCAGCAGUGGGGAAUCUUGCGCAAUGGGCGAAAGCCUGACGCAGCCAUGCCGCGUGAAUGAUGAAGGUCUUAGGAUUGUAAAAUUCUUUCACCGGGGACGAUAAUGACGGUACCCGGAGAAGAAGCCCCGGCUAACUUCGUGCCAGCCGCCGCCGUAA
rnacentral:rRNA from 1 species